rnacentral:rRNA from 1 species
UACGUAGGGGGCAAGCGUUGUCCGGAAUCAUUGGGCGUAAAGCGCGUGUAGGCGGCCCGAUAAGUCCGCUGUGAAAGUCCAGGGCUCAACCCUGGAAUGCCGGUGGAUACUGUCGGGCUCGAGUCCGGAAGAGGCGAGUGGAAUUCCUGGUGUAGCGGUGAAAUGCGCAGAUAUCAGGAGGAACACCGAUUGCGAAGGCAGCUCGCUGGGACGUAACUGACGCUGAGACGCGAAAGCGUGGGGAGCAAACGGG